AUCCGACUUGUUGUAAUUUGGUAACAUUUCAGCCACUUUCUGCUUAUACCGGGGGUCUAGUAGCGUGGACACCCAGUACAGGUCGUUCUCCUUCAGCCUUUUUAUACGAGGGUCCCUCAACAGGCACGACAGCAUGAAAGACCCCAUUUGCACAAGGUUGGAUGCUGAGCUACUCAUUUCCCGUUCCUCCUCCUCAGUGAUCUCAAUGAAGGUAUGUUCUUCCCCCCAGCCACGUACAACACCACGGGUACCAGAUAGGUGACAACGAGCACCCUGGGAUGCCUGUUGUGGUUGGUCUUCCUCCUCCUCCUCAAAGCCACAUUCCUCCUCUGACUCCUCUUCCUCACAAUCCUCUUCCAGCGUUGCCGCAGGUCCAGCAAGCGAUGCUGAUAAGGCUGGUUCUGGUGGUGAUGGUGACCACAACUCUUCC